rfam:Canis lupus familiaris chromosome 7, whole genome shotgun sequence.
CGGGGGAGGCCGGAUCCUGGGCUGUGUCCCGGCGCCCUGUGCUCCGGAGCCUGCGCUGUUGGAUUCGCGCUCCCGGUCGCGCAGCCCCCU